UCUAACCCACAACUAAGAAACCCUAAAAGCAUAACCCCACAAAUAAACCCACGAGAAUCGGUUUCCCAAACCAAUCACCGUAAUACGCCGGAAAUCCCGUAAUCGCACCAAGACUCCGUCGGGACCCACGGACUGUCCCGGAACUCACCGACUCGUACCACGAGUCACCCGCUGCCCCUAAAUACAAAUUUAAGUGUGACUUGGCAGCAGAGACCUUAACUCACUCCAAAACGAUUAUCGUCAAAUAAUCGUUCCGAUCCGGGUUCCCGGAAGUGUCUAUUUCGACACCGGAACCCACCGGCGCUCACCCGUCAU
rnacentral:lncRNA from 1 species